rnacentral:rRNA from 1 species
UUAAAAAGCUCGUAGUUGGAUUUCUGUGGGGACGGAGCGGCCGGCCGCUACUAGCGGUUCGAGCUAGCGCUUUCCCUACAUCCUGCCGCGAACCGCGCUACCAUUAGUUUGGUGGCGCCGGGGAUCGGCUCGUUUACUUUGAGAAAAAUAGAGUGUUCAAAGCAGGCCACACGCCUUGAAUAAGUUAGCAUGGAAUAAUAACUAAGGACUUCGGUUCUAUUUUGUUGGUGUUCGGGACUGAAGUAAUGAUUGAUAGGGACAGUUGGGGCGGUCCGUAUUCCAAAGCGAGAGGUGAAAUUCUUAGACCUUCGGAAGACGAACAGCUGCGAAAGCGUUCCGCAAGGAUGUUCCCUAUGAUCAAGAACGAAAGUAGGGGGAUCGAAGACGAUCAGAUACCGUCGUAGUCUCAACUAUAAACUAUACCAGCUAGGGAUC